UCGCGAUCGACGAGCUUCGCCCACGUGACGCUCUUCGCGCGGGCGAGCGGAUCGUCGUGCCGCACGACGAUCACGAUC
rnacentral:tRNA from 5 species